rnacentral:rRNA from 1 species
UUCUCGGUAUCCAAGUUUAGUAGGUCCCACGUCAAUCCAUCCCGAACUUGACAGUGAAACUAUUAAUGAGGUGGAAAAGGUGCAAGGGGGGCCUUGUGUACUUUCCACCUUGACGCCGGGA